CACGGGGGAGCAAGCGUUGUUCGGAAUCACUGGGCGUAAAGGGCGUGUAGGCGGUCAGGUAAGUGAGAUGUGAAAUGCCCCGGCUCACCCGGGGACCGGCAUCUCAUACUGCUUGGCUUGAGUACGGGAGAGGAUGUGGGAGUUCCUGGUGUAGCGGUGAAAUGCGUAGAUAUCAGGAGGAACACCGGUGGCGAAGGCGCACAUCUGGCCCGAUACUGACGCUGAGGCGCGAAAGCUAGGGGAGCAAACGGG
rnacentral:rRNA from 1 species